CACACCUUGCGGCCAGGAGGCAGGGAGCCGGCCAUGGAGUGGAGGGAGCAGGCUGCCGUGCAUUUCCUGCUUUUUAUUACGACACCCCUUGCCGGAGCGGGACCUCACGUUUCUCGGCGCCACUCAGCGAACAUGCGUGCGCCAUUAUCAGGGAGCUUUUUUAUGGUGUACGAUAUUACCACUUGGUAUUACGUAGUAUAGAAAAGAUCCAACCGUCCAUUAAAAAGGUUAGGAUUGUCAUUAUUAGUUUAAUAUAAAUUGAUAAGAAUUUUUAUUUUUUUGCAAUUUAGCCCCAUCAAUCCAUCUGCUCUCGUUCAUUCCAGGCUGCCGGCGCCGCCGACGGCCGCCCGCCCCUCCCAUCCGUCGUGGAUCUCACGAGCGCCGGGCCGCCGGUCGUGCCCCCUCCUCCUCCCUUCCAGGCCGUCGGCCCUCAUCGGGCGCCAUUCGUGGUGGCACCCUUGACUGGCCUCAGCCUCCUCCCCGACCCUGUGACUGCGUGGUCGGGCAUCAUCGUCGUUGGCGGCUAGAAGAUCGAGUUCCCACUCCCGGACAGGCGCCGGUGGCCCUUGCCACGCACGGGGCCGUUGGCGACGCCGGCCCUAUCCGGUAACCGCGCGUGGCGCCUCACCUCGUGCGCCGUUCGUGGCGCUGCCCUGACCAACGACCGCGUCCUCCCCCUUCCCGCCGGCGUUGGGCGUCCUCCGUGCCACUCGUUUUCCUCUCCCGAGGAUCCUGUGCAGCCAUCGCCGCCGCAUCCUCUCCGUACACACGACCUCCCCUUGCCGGCUGCAGUCUCUAGUCCCCGCUGUUGGCCGGGGGGCACCGGCCCUUGCUGCGCGCGCCACCGCAGAUGCCGCCUCCUGCAGUGCAGGCCCUUGCUGGCUGCAUUCGCCGUCGGCCCUGGCUGGCCCCCGUCCGGCGUUAUUUCUGUGCGUUGGAGGCGGUGACUCAUCCUGGCCACUGGAACCGGUGCUUUCUGGUUGACAUGAAAGCAUUGGUUUCCAUGAACGAAGAAGAUAUGAAGUCUUUAGGAACUCCAAUGUGUGGCUAUCAUAAGAACCAAAUGCUCUAGAGAGUAAAAACUCAGGGUCCCAGGAAAAAGAUACUAUCAGCAUUGGCUCACAAAAAGAGGAAGUCAUCAAAACUAUUGCCUAGCAGUUGAGAGAUAUCUGGGCUUGUGUAUUAGCUAGACAGCUUGUUGAUGUAUGGUUCCAUUGCUAUCCAGAUUAUUUGGAUCAUUGGAUGUCAAUUUACGAUGCCUUGGGAUUGUCCAGUAGUUCUGAAGUCCCGCAGGCUGCAGCUGCAAUCUAAGACCAGUAGGGUUUCAAUCUUUUGUUUCGCUCAGUUUGUACUGUUGUGUAUUGCUAUAGGAACCUAUCUUAUGCAGCUCUCUACCUCGUCUACUGAGGUUGUACCUGCCUGAGCUUGUAAAAGAGUAUGUCGGGAAUCCCCUCGUGUAAACAUUCUUGCAAUUAUUCUCUUGUAAUUUACCGUUUGAGGCAUGAGUUAGCUCAUAAAAUCUUUAUGUAAAAUCAAUAUUCUGCGACUCUA